AGAAAGGAAUUUGGGAUGUUAUCAGUUGUAUACAGUAUGUGCGACGGUGACUGCAAGAAUGCCAUUAUGGGGAGCUAACCCAUGCUGCUGAGGGUGGAAAGGUCUCGCUUUUAAAUAGUUGUGAUCUGAGACAUCAGUCACAUACAUGUGUAUUUAGGGAGUCUAUAUACACUUGAGCUGAGCUGCAGAUAGGAAAUAUGGAAGAAUUUCAGAUGUUGUGAUGAAGAUAUUUAAGAGUGAUCAUCAUCAUCUAAAUGUGCAGGUCAGAACUCACAGGACAGUUUUUGUAAACCACCUGAAAGAUCUGAGUACCCUGAUGACUGUUGAACUGAUUGGUGACUGAGAAAAGAUGUCAGAGAGGAGAAUCCAAAAGGGAUGUCUUGAUCAAGAAUAUAUACUGUUAUGAAUGAUAUGGUCAAGAAUAUGUAAACUAAGAAAUAUCCUUUUAUAGAUUUAUAGAUGAACAUUCAAGCAUUCAUAAUUAUAAAGCUAGUUAUUCAUCCAGAGAGUUUUUGCAUAAAUUUAAUUUUCAGUACAAUCAUUUAAACUGGAUAUGUAAUUUUCGGUACAAUUAUGUGAAAUGAAUAUGUAACUUAUUAUGAUUGUCAAUUUCUUAAGAGGAAAUAACUGCAGUACAUAUAUAUGAUCAUUCUUUCAGAACAAAGCACACUGAACUUUUUUCUCUGUGUGCAUCAUACACUUGUUAACAUUUUACACCACCACAGUGACACAUUUUAAGCACACUGAACUUUUUUCUCUGUGUGCAUCAUACAUAAGUAAACAUUUUACACCAUCAUAGUGUCAUAUUUUCCAAAGCGUGUUAACUCGAGCACAUACAUGAAAAUGUGUGAAGCUGAACACAUAUGCAAUCACACAAGCAUCUACCACAACCUAUAACAUAUUUUUAAGGCGUGUGAAGUGGAGCACAUACAUGAAAAUGUGUUAAGCUUGAUACAUAUGCAAUCACACAAGCAUAUAACACAACCUAUUACAUAUUUUCCAGGGCGUGUGAAGUCGAGCACAUACAUGAAAAUGUGUGAAGCUGAACACAUAUGCAAACACACAAGCAUCUACCACACACAUAAGAACAUUUAAUCCAAAGAGGUCAAGCUCAGACAGGCUCACUGGGUGAAGCUGAACACAUACAUAUUCUCAUACAUUUUGCAAACUUUAUCUUUAAAUAUUCUCACAGAUGAUUUAGUAUUUUUCUUUUUUGUGAAUAUGUAAACUGCAACAUUUUUCAUUGUAAAUUGAAGAUGUCAAGAUGUUACUAGCCUGUAUAUAAAUGCAUAUCAAAUAGCCUUUCAUGUACUUUUUUCCCACUUUUUUUAAUUUCAUGUAUUAAAACUGCAAAGUUUAUUUUAUAUAUGUACAUGCACCAAAAAUAAUAGUGUUUUCCAACAUUUCGUAAUAUAGCGAGAAAACAUUGUAUGAUAGAAACAUAUUUUAGAGAUUUUGACUGUAUAUGGUAGGCGUGGCCAAAGGAAGGCCAAUGAGAAGACAGUAUUCAGUAAGGUGUUCUUCACUACACAAACGUUUUAUGCUUUAUAUAUAAUAUAUAUCAUGUUUGUAUUAAUAUACCGGUAAUGGAAGUAACACUAUUGUUGAAAUGUAUUUUAAUUUUGAUUUUUUAUACAUGCAAAUAUCAUUAGGAUGUUCAUGCAAUUUUAAAUAAUACACCGAAUGCACGUCCGGCAUUCUCCCUUGAGACAUUAUUUACAUAGCGACGGACACAGGUUUUUCAUAGUUAAUCGUCUAUGGCUUUUGCCUGAGCGGUUUUUAAUGUCUGUGAUAGUGGUAUAAUUUGUUACACAAAAAAUAAUUUACAAAUACAUGUACAUUGCAGUGGUUUAUUUUUCACAUACAAUGUAAUGUAUGUUCAAUAAUUAUGUAUUGUUAUCAAAAUGAAACCAGCUGCUCCCACUAAGCUAGCAUAAUACAGCAUAGGUGUUGUAUUAUUUGAGGUGUAUUCUGUUAAAUAAUGAGUGGAGAUUAUCAAUAACAUUGUAUUAUAUUUGAAAGUGAAUUGGGACCUUUUCAGUUUUCAUAUAAAGCAGAAAUGUGAUUUUUUUAUACAUACCACCGGUAUUUUUUUUCUAUUUUGUAUUACAUGUAUCUGAAUGUUUACACAGAAACAAAUGUAAAAGAUUAGCUCAAUGUUUAUAUUCAAGGUUAUUGAUUGUGCUGUAUAAUUUCUGACUCGUAUAA